GACGAGCGCUGGCGGCGUGCUUAACACAUGCAAGUCGAACGGUGAAGCUCCAGCUUGCUGGAGUGGAUCAGUGGCGAACGGGUGAGUAACACGUGAGCAACCUGCCCCUGACUCUGGAAUAAGCGCUGGAAACGGCGUCUAAUACUGGAUACGAGAAGGGUCCGCAUGGGCACUUUCUGGAAAGUUUUUCGGUUGGGGAUGGGCUCGCGGCCUAUCAGCUUGUUGGUGAGGUAAUGGCUCACCAAGGCGACGACGGGUAGCCGGCCUGAGAGGGCGACCGGCCACACUGGGACUGAGACACGGCCCAGACUCCUACGGGAGGCAGCAGUGGGGAAUAUUGCACAAUGGGCGAAAGCCUGAUGCAGCGACGCCGCGUGAGGGAUGACGGCCUUCGGGUUGUAAACCUCUUUCAGCAGGGAAGAAGCGAAAGUGACGGUACCUGCAGAAGAAGCACCGGCUAACUACGUG
rnacentral:rRNA from 1 species